AGGGAGGUAGUGACAAGAAAUAACAAUACAGGGCCUACCGGUCUUGUAAUUGGAAUGAGUAAAGUAUAAACCCCUUUACGAGUAUCAAUUGGAGGGCAAGUCUGGUGCCAGCAGCCGCGGUAAUUCCAGCUCCAAUAGCGUAUAUUAAAGUUGUUGCAGUUAAAAAGCUCGUAGUUGGAUUUCUGUUGC
rnacentral:rRNA from 1 species